CUAUUAUACAAUUAGCAACAAAAAAACUGCCGGCUACCCAACCAUUGCGUCAACAAAAAUAGAUGGUCACCAAAGAAUUAUUAUGUACCGUUUCAAAUAUUUACAAUGGCCACCACCAGCGAACGUAACCGUUGCGUCUAUCCAAGCCACCCUGUUUCAAUUGACAUCAAAACUUCAACCGUUUUCCGUAAAAAAAACAUCUCCUUCAAUUAAAAUAUACACCAUCGCAACGGUUCUUCUGACACCCGCUAUAUCACCGCCACCACCACUAAUUCAACCAUUGCAACAUUACACUCACAGAUCACUACAUUUCAAAAUUAACAGUUGAACGUCUUCUUCUCCGUUUUCACCACAGCUAAUCAUGCCAUUCCGUAACCGUCUUCCACGCCGUCGUCUACAGGAUCUUCACCACCACUGUUGUCAUCAAUUGGGAUGUCCUUGCGGCCUCCAUGUCCGAUUGCGUUUUCCGUCAAUAAUCGGAACCACUUGAUUUUCCAAAUUGGAAGUCAGGGCAAAUGGUUACGGUGACCCCUUUGCCGGAAUUGGAAUCUUGGAACGGAGUGGAGACAUGGUUGUUGACGGUGAAUAGGUUUAUGAUCGUACGUGGAUGUGUCUGAUUGGUCUGAUGCAAGCAGUUGGGUCAAGGUUAGAUGUCGCCAGCAAUUUUUAUGGUGUAGAUAAAAGAAACUGGUUAUUUUUUGUUUUGGAAUAUUUGAUACUUUGAUGAAUAAGUAAACAGUUAUACCAAUGGUUUCGACAAUAAAAGAUUUAAUGGUUUAUGGCAUCAAUCGGAUGACCGACCACUAA